rnacentral:lncRNA from 1 species
GCGCUCGUGGGGCUGCUGGCCAGGCUAAGAGGCGGUUGAUGGUUUACGAAAACACUGGAAAGGGAAAGGUCGGAAACGCAUUCGGUCCGAGGCUGGACUCGGUAGGACUCGGGACUCUGAGAUACCUGAGCCAUUCCGGAAAUAGCUGAACGUGCUACAGCAGGGUUGGUUUUUUUUGUGUGUGUUUUGUUUUCUUAACGAAGUCGUGAACCUGCAAGACCGCGGAGCGUGUCUGGAAGGAACCUAACGACCUCAAAUAUAGCUCUUGGCAGUUGACUCGGAGGCCGCCGACGGCUUCCGGAAAUAGCCGAAGCACGUCCAGUUUGGCAACUGCACUCUCAGUAGAGAGCUGCUCGUGCAAGGAAUGGAAGGCGAAGGCGCUGCCAUGGCAACCCUAGGCGUCCGGAAACAGCCGAAGUGUCUCCGGCCCAACACGCGCGAGAAUGCUGCUCAUCUGAGUCCGGAAGCGAGAUUGUUUCCGGAAAUAUCGACCGACGCUGGCAAUUGGAGCCGUGGGGCGGCAGAGACAGAAAGAACCAGAGAGAGAGUUUGAGAACCGGAAGUAACCGAGCCUGUUCGGCUGAUUUCGGAGGGAUUUAUUUUAGCUCAGCGCAAAGACCGGGGUAGAAAAUUGGGACAGAGGGGUUGCAGCUAGAGUUCGGCAGGUAAGAGUGCUCGCCGCUUUUGUACAGGUUCAGUAAAUUACAGCCGCUUUUAACCCGACGCCCUCUUCUGGUGUCUCUGGGACUUGCAGGCAAGUGGUAAACAUACACAUUAAAUAUUCUUUAAGGGAAAACAUAAAAAGAUGGGCUAAUUGAAGGAUUAAUUUUUUUUUGAGGCAAAGGCUCUGUGCUGGAAUUAAAAGCAAGUGCUACAACUCCCAGCCUUAUGGGUUUGGGGGCUUUUUAAGGUUUAUUUUUGUUUGUUUUUCUUCCGUGUGUCUUGUGUGUACCUAGUGUCUGUAGAAGUUAGAGGAGACACCGGAUGCACUGGAAUUUGAAUU